GACGAACGCUGGCGGCGUGCUUAACACAUGCAAGUCGAACGGAAAGGCCCUGCUUUUGUGGGGUGCUCGAGUGGCGAACGGGUGAGUAACACGUGAGUAACCUGCCCUUGACUUUGGGAUAACUUCAGGAAACUGGGGCUAAUACCGGAUAGGAGCUCCUGCUGCAUGGUGGGGGUUGGAAAGUUUCGGCGGUUGGGGAUGGACUCGCGGCUUAUCAGCUUGUUGGUGGGGUAGUGGCUUACCAAGGCUUUGACGGGUAGCCGGCCUGAGAGGGUGACCGGCCACAUUGGGACUGAGAUACGGCCCAGACUCCUACGGGAGGCAGCAGUGGGGAAUAUUGCACAAUGGGCGGAAGCCUGAUGAAGCAACGCCGCGUGCGGGAUGACGGCAUUCGGGUUGUAAACCGCUUUCGCCUGUGACGAAGCGUGAGUGACGGUAAUGGGUAAAGAAGCACCGGCUAACUACGUG
rnacentral:rRNA from 1 species